CCUACGGGUGACAGCAGUGAGGAAUAUUGGUCAAUGGGCGGGAGCCUGAACCCGCCAAGUCGCGUGAGGGAAGACGGUCCUACGGAUUGUAACCCUCUUUUGCCGUGGAGCAACGGGGUCCUUGCGAGGGCCCGAUGAGAGUACCCGGAGAAAAAGCAUCGGCUAACUCCGUGCCAGCCGCCGCGGUAAUACGGAGGAUGAGAGAGUUAUCCGGAUUUAUUGGGUUAAAGGGGUGCGUAGGCGGGCUGUUUAGUCAGCGGUAAAAUGUCGGGGCUCAACCCCGGCCUGCCGUUGAAACUGGCGGCCUCGAGUGGGCGAGAAGUAUGCGGAAUGCGUGGUGUAGCGGUGAAAUGCAUAGAUAUCACGCAGAACUCCGAUUGCGAAGGCAGCAUACCGGCGCCCGACGGACGCUGAGGCACGAAAGCGUGGGUAUCGAACAGGAUUAGAUACCCUUGUAGUC
rnacentral:rRNA from 1 species